AAAGAAAGAAAAAGUGGUAUCAAUUGGAAUAUGUAAACAUACACGAGAAAAUAAGGAAGGAAUUAGGGGUAGCUGUUCUUGUUUUUGUCACUUCAAAAGAUAAUAAGGUGAUAGUUGGAUUUUAGGACUUUUUUCUGGUCUACUACUCCUUCGAUGUUCCUUUGACUUUCAGUUAACAUCUCAGCUAGUUCUUCCCUCAUCACAGAAACCCUCUAUCCCUGAAGAUAAAGGAGUCUCCCAGUAACUUGCCAGUGGACCAAAUGGGCUGCUCAAAGUGGCCUGUGGGCUCGUGCCAGUCUGUGGGCUGCUACCAGCCUGCAGUGUGGUAAGCAUAAACAUUGAGAUCAGUGUUGAGAAAUUUCUACAGCAAUUUGACAUGACAUGCUGUCCAAACACAUGAUCAGUAGACUUACCUCACUGAGCAAGGCACAGAGCAGUGUGGGGGUUGUGAAGCCUGCGUGGUGAGCCACAUAGAGAACAAGCUGCGUCCUGGUCCUGCACAGCAAAAGCAUGUCAUCGUGGGAGAGAUUUUACAGUUAGUUUGCCAACUGUUACCCAAAAGUAUAAAAAAUUCAGAAUUUAUAUUUAACUCUAACUUUUACAUCAGAAAUUGUUGGAAAUGGAUGAUGAUUUGAAGACAUUUUGGGAAUAAAUCAUCACUUGCUUUUAUUUUGGAUGAAAAUUAAAAAUGAAUAUCCUGAGCUUGCUGAAUUACUUUAAAAUUUCUUCUUCCAUUCCUGUGAACAUAGCUCUGUGAGACUAGUUUCUCUACUAUAAAUGUUAUUUAGACGAAACAGAGAAAUAGUUGAGCUAUGUAUCAUCUGCUACUUGUAGCAUCGUCGUCAGUCCAAACUCAGUUAAAUAGGUUAACAAGCAACCAAGCUUAUCUAUCACAUUUAAAACUUUAAAUUUCAAUAAACAUGGUUUUUGUUCAGAGUUUACGUAUAGGCAUUUAAUACAGGAAAAUUAUUUCGACUCAUAACUAUUUACAAUUGUGGAAUAAAAGUAAUGAAUAUAAUAGUGAUUAUCUCAAUUAAUUGCCUAUAUAUUCACUUUUAUUGAAU
rnacentral:lncRNA from 1 species